rnacentral:lncRNA from 1 species
UCAAACAAACAGGCUUUGAGUCCUCCCUCGUGGGUUCGGGAGACCAUGCAUCUUAAGGAGCUUUGAGAUGCGCGCUAAUAGAGUCAAAAGGUAGAUUUGUAGAACAUUUACCUUAGCCAUAACAGAAACCCUAAAAUAGCAAGGAUGGGCAAAAAAGUGCAUGCAGUCUUGUGCCUAUGCACAUGUGGAGCUGCUUUCCCCC